CAAUCGGCCCUUUUCAGGGCCAGCAAACGUUGUUAAAAGGGUUUAUU
rfam:Aedes aegypti strain Liverpool supercont1.478 genomic scaffold, whole genome shotgun sequence.